rnacentral:rRNA from 1 species
ACAUGCCUACAACAUAGUGUUAAUGCAUCAAAACCCAUUAGAAAUCCACAUUUAAGCUUGCUCAGGCUAAAGUAGUAUUGGGAUGGGUGACCGCCUGGGUAGUACUAGUAUUUUACAUGCC